rnacentral:rRNA from 1 species
GGUUAAUUGAUGGGGUUAGCGUAAGCGAAGCUCUUGAUCGAAGCCCCAGUAAACGGCGGCCGUAACUAUAACGGUCCUAAGGUAGCGAAAUUCCUUGUCGGGUAAGUUCCGACCUGCACGAAUGGCAUAAUGAUGGCGGCGCUGUCUCCAGCAGAGGCUCAGUGAAAUCGAAAUCGCUGUGAAGAUGCAGUGUACCCGCGGCUAGACGGAAAGACCCCGUGAACCUUUACUGCAGCUUGACACUGAACUUUGACCUUACUUGUGUAGGAUAGGUGGGAGGCUUUGAAGCUGGAACGCUAGUUCCAGUGGAGCCGUCCUUGAAAUACCACCCUGGUAAUGUUGAGGUUCUAACUCUGUCCCGUGAUCCGGGACGAGGACCGUGUCUGGUGGGUAGUUUGACUGGGGCGGUCUCCUCCUAAAGAGUAACGGAGGAGUACGAAGGUGCGCUCAGCGUGGUCGGAAAUCACGCGUAGAGUAUAAAGGCAAAAGCGCGCUUAACUGCGAGACCCACAAGUCGAGCAGGUACGAAAGUAGGUCUUAGUGAUCCGGUGGUUCUGUAUGGAAGGGCCAUCGCCCAACGGAUAAAAGGUACU